rnacentral:rRNA from 1 species
AUGCCGCUGAGCGUUUCCGCCGAACCCGAAAGAGCAUGUUGGAGUGCCGUCUUCUGCUCUCUGCAGGCCUGCAUCUCUGAGCCCAUUAGAUUUAUUCAUUACGGGACUCUCGAUGUUGUUCGACGGCUUUUUUUUAGUAGAGGUGUAAGGGAAAGGGCAAGGGGAACGGGAACGGGAGAAGAAACUGUCAAUCCUGCUGAUGAGCAAACGGGAGACAAAGAUUCUCCUGCUGCAGAUGAUGAUUACAGCGAGCAGCUUGCUGAAUACGGCCACAAUAGUGAUCGCUACGAUGGCAGUAACUGUGGCGACUACUAUGACACAGAUGGCGACUGGUCUGAGACCGGUGGAUAUGAUGAGUACUACAGAAAGGAUAUUCCACCGAGUCUCAAAAUUGGCUAUCACGGAGACAGCAUUGAUCUAUCGAUGGCUUACAGCUUAUCUCGGGACUUGGUGGAGCUGUUAUCUGUGCGUCCCCGAUUUCCCUUCGUGGGCACCUUUGUUGCUUUCAACGAUCGUUCCCAUUACUACUGCAACUCGGAGAAUGGACCACUUCAUCGUAAUGUUGAUUCACAGGGUAAUUUGAUUCUCAGGGCAGAAGGGGCGGCGCUUGAGGACUAUGUCCGCAUUAAAGUUGAAAUCCCAGAGGAUGAUAACCGGAUUGACACUGCAAACUACGUCUUCUAUGUGGACCCGUACUUAUGUAACAGUGUCAUUGUCCACACAAUGCCAGCAAGAUAUGGCCGUGAUAUAGACGUGUUUUUCGUGACGAUGUAUCGUGCUAUACAGGCCAGCUUGUGUGUCAACCUUGAUCUCGCAUCUGGCAGUGGCUGUAGCUAUGCAUAUGGCGAAAUCACAGCGCACCAUGAGUUCUACGGUGACUUUAAUGUCCUGCUUUUUCAGUGUGGAGAAGAUGAUAUGGCAGAGGUUGUUGAUGGCAGACUUCCAUUGUUGCGGACUUGGGCAGCUGUUCCGAUAUACUUAGAGCCGCUCUUGAUAAUCAAGCUGAACCUUAAUGUUUUUACUAAUUCUGACCAUGUUAAUGACGGUCAUGCCAUCUCCUUCCAAGGUGAUCUUACCUUCUACCAUGACCAGUAUGAAAAGACAAUCUGCAAUGCUGACCAUGGUACAGUUGAAGUGCAGAUUGGGUACCGUUAA